AUUGAACGCUGGCGGAAUGCUUUACACAUGCAAGUCGAACGGCAGCACGGACUUCGGUCUGGUGGCGAGUGGCGAACGGGUGAGUAAUGUAUCGGAACGUGCCCAGUCGUGGGGGAUAACGUAGUGAAAAUUACGCUAAUACCGCAUACGAUCUAUGGAUGAAAGCGGGGGAUCGCAAGACCUCGCGCGAUUGGAGCGGCCGAUAUCAGAUUAGGUAGUUGGUGGGGUAAAGGCCCACCAAGCCAACGAUCUGUAGCUGGUCUGAGAGGACGACCAGCCACACUGGAACUGAGACACGGUCCAGACUCCUACGGGAGGCAGCAGUGGGGAAUUUUGGACAAUGGGCGAAAGCCUGAUCCAGCCAUUCCGCGUGCAGGAUGAAGGCCCUCGGGUUGUAAACUGCUUGUGUACAGUACGAAAAGGUUUCUGCUAAUACUAGGAGCUCAUGACGGUACUGUAAGAAUAAGCACCGGCUAACUACGUGCCAGCCGCCGCCGUAA
rnacentral:rRNA from 1 species